GUGGGGAAUAUUCCGCAAUGGACGAAAGUCUGACGGAGCGACGCCGCGUGAGUGAAGAAGGCCUUCGGGUCGUAAAGCUCUGUCAUCAGGGACGAACGGCCGGUGGAGCGGAAAGCCACCGGAUUGACGGUACCUGAGAAGGAAGCCACGGCUAACUACGUGCCAGCAGCCGCGGUAAUACGUAGGUGGCAAGCGUUGUCCGGAAUUAUUGGGCGUAAAGCGCGCGCAGGUGGGAUCUUAAGUCCAUUUUUAAAGUUCGGAGCUCAACUCCGUGAUGGGAUGGAAACUGGGAUUCUUGAGUACCGGAGAGGAAAGCGGAAUUCCCCGUGUAGCGGUGAAAUGCGUAGAUAUGGGGAGGAACACCAGUGGCGAAGGCGGCUUUCUGGACGGUGUCUGACACUGAGGCGCGAAAGCCAGGGGAGCGAACGGGAUUAGAAACCCCUGUAGUCC
rnacentral:rRNA from 1 species